AACGCAGGUGGUUUGGUAAGUCAGGGGUGAAAGUCCACAGCUUAACUGUGGCACUGCCUUUGAUACUACCUUUCUUGAGUGCAUGAGGGGGAAGCGGAAUCCCGAGUGUAGAGGUGAAAUUCGUAGAUAUUCGGAGGAACACCGGUGGCGAAGGCGGCUUCCUGGCAUGUAACUGACACUCAUGUUCGAAAGCGUGGGGAGCAAACAGGAUUAGAUACCCUGGUAGUCCACGCCCUAAACUAUGGGCACUAGGUGUGGGAGGUAUCGACCCCUUCCGUGCCGCAGCUAACGCAUUAAGUGCCCCGCCUGGGGAGUACGGCCGCAAGGUUGAA
rnacentral:rRNA from 1 species